UACGAAGGGCCCGGGUGUUACUCGUUUUGAUUGGGUGUAAAGGGUAAGUAGGCGGUCGAUGGGAUUUUUAGGCUAAAGCGCGGAGUGUUCCUAUGCGAAAGCCCAAUCUGUAGCAUCUGACUAGUGUUGAGGAGAGGUCUAGGCAAAUUCGUAGGGAAGGGUAAAAUCUUGCGAGCUACGAAUGAACGCCAGCUGGCAAAGGCGCUUUUCCAGCCUCAACAGACGCUGAGGUACGGAAGCGUAGGGAGCAAACGGG
rnacentral:rRNA from 1 species